UACAGAGGGUGCGAGCGUUGUCCGGAAUCACUGGGCGUAAAGGGCGCGUAGGUGGUGGCUUAAGCGUGCGGUGAAAGCUCGGGGCUCAACCCCGAGUCGGCCGUGCGAACUGGGCUCACUGGAGCAUAGUAGAGGCAGGUGGAAUUCCGGGUGUAGCGGUGGAAUGCGUAGAGAUCCGGAAGAACACCGGUGGCGAAGGCGGCCUGCUGGGCUAUGGCUGACACUGAGGCGCGACAGCGUGGGGAGCAAA
rnacentral:rRNA from 1 species